rnacentral:rRNA from 1 species
GACGAACGCUGGCGGCGUGCUUAACACAUGCAAGUCGAACGGAAAGGCCCUGCUUUUGUGGGGUGCCCGAGUGGCGAACGGGUGCGUAACACGUGAGUAACCUGCCCUUGACUUUGGGAUAACUUCAGGAAACUGGGGCUAAUACCGGAUAGGAGCUCCCCCUGCAUGGUGGGGGUUGGAAAGUUUCGGCGGUUGGGGAUGGACUCGCGGCUUAUCAGCUUGUUGGUGGGGUAGUGGCUUACCAAGGCUUUGACGGGUAGCCGGCCUGAGAGGGUGACCGGCCACAUUGGGACUGAGAUACGGCCCAGACUCCUACGGGAGGCAGCAGUGGGGAAUAUUGCACAAUGGGCGGAAGCCUGAUGCAGCAACGCCGCGUGCGGGAUGACGGCCUUCGGGUUGUAAACCGCUUUCGCCUGUGACGAAGCGUGAGUGACGGUAAUGGGUAAAGAAGCACCGGCUAACUACGUG